rnacentral:lncRNA from 1 species
GGACAGUGACAUGGUCAGUGCUUAUUUUUAAUUGGCUUUCUGGGGACACAAGGGUGGGGUAUGAGGUCAGGAACAAGGCAGGGAAGUCACUCACAAUUGGCUGGAAUCCUAUCCCUUUGGUCUGUACUCUAUCACAAAUCCUCUUGUCCCUGAGUGCCUGAGAUUGCUUCCCCUCAGAGCCUACCAGGCCUCUCUCUGGUCUUCCUACUUCCUUUUGAUUCCAACUAGAAUGUUCUCCAAGGGUUGGCAGAAAGUGCUUUAGUCCAAUAAUCAGGACAUCUGCAUUUGAGUU